GACGAACGCUGGCGGCGUGCCUAAUACAUGCAAGUCGAACGCUUCUUUCCUCCCGAGUGCUUGCACUCGAUUGGAAAGAGGAGUGGCGGACGGGUGAGUAACACGUGGGUAACCUACCCAUCAGAGGGGGAUAACACUUGGAAACAGGUGCUAAUACCGCAUAACAGCUUAUGCCGCAUGGCAUAAGAGUGAAAGGCGCUUUCGGGUGUCGCUGAUGGAUGGACCCGCGGUGCAUUAGCUAGUUGGUGAGGUAACGGCUCACCAAGGCCACGAUGCAUAGCCGACCUGAGAGGGUGAUCGGCCACACUGGGACUGAGACACGGCCCAGACUCCUACGGGAGGCAGCAGUAGGGAAUCUUCGGCAAUGGACGAAAGUCUGACCGAGCAACGCCGCGUGAGUGAAGAAGGUUUUCGGAUCGUAAAACUCUGUUGUUAGAGAAGAACAAGGACGUUAGUAACUGAACGUCCCCUGACGGUAUCUAACCAGAAAGCCACGGCUAACUACGUGCCAGCAGCCGCGGUAAUACGUAGGUGGCAAGCGUUGUCCGGAUUUAUUGGGCGUAAAGCGAGCGCAGGCGGUUUCUUAAGUCUGAUGUGAAAGCCCCCGGCUCAACCGGGGAGGGUCAUUGGAAACUGGGAGACUUGAGUGCAGAAGAGGAGAGUGGAAUUCCAUGUGUAGCGGUGAAAUGCGUAGAUAUAUGGAGGAACACCAGUGGCGAAGGCGGCUCUCUGGUCUGUAACUGACGCUGAGGCUCGAAAGCGUGGGGAGCAAACAGG
rnacentral:rRNA from 1 species